rnacentral:tRNA from 1 species
GCUCCGAUAGCUCAGCUGGAUAGAGCAACGGACUUCUAAUCCGUAGGUCACAGGUUCGAGUCCUGUUCGGAGUG